GCACAGGUGGUUUAUGAACUAGAUUGCAAGAAGACAGCAGAUCCCAUGCAUCGGUUAGACGAGAAAAGAAAAACCUGCAAAAGGGAGGAAGGGGAAAGAAGUCUGUGCUCUCUGUCGGAGAGUAUGGAAGGCUGUAAAGCUGCCAAAGAUUGGUGUGUCUUACACCACAGCCAGACCUAGACGGUUCAGAGCUAAUGCCUGCCCCGAGUCCCUUCAGAAUCACACCAAUGGCUGACACAGAUCCUGCCGACCCUGAGCUUGUGUGUCUGCCAGGGUCUGUGAAGAUGUUGAGUCGAUGUGUCUGCUAGGUCCCUCCAGGACUGAGCAAACGGCAGAUGCAGAUCUGGCCAAUCCUGAGUCGUCACCUGUUGCAGAUCCAUCCAGUUCUGACCUGGGUGACGAAAAACGUAGAAAAGCGAGGAAGAGGAAGGCAGUCAAUGUGUUCUUCCGGAGAUACGGUAAGGCCGUAAAGGCCUUUGCUGCAACUCGAACAGA